ACAAUAUGCGUAAGUUAUCCUCAGAGAUUUUCAAAGAAGUGGGCAAUUGAAAAGAAAGAAGCUUUGACUAAACAUUUACACUACAAACAGACAAAGCUAGUACUUACUAAAAUAAAGGCUGCUUAAACAUGAUUAUUAAAGUUGGCUUUGUUUCUGAUAGUGGCCCAGUUUUCAGGUAAAGCCAAUUGCUAAACAGGGAAUAAAAUAUUAAGUGCCGACACUCAGAGAUUUAGAAAUGAGAUCCUUCCUCCCUAACAUUAAAAGAGAG
rnacentral:misc_RNA from 1 species